rnacentral:rRNA from 1 species
UUCGGAGGGGGGUGAGUAACGCGUGAGAACCUACCUUCAGAAUGGGGACAACAGUUGGAAACGACUGCUAAUACCCAAUGUGCCGAAAGGUGAAAGAUUUAUCGUCUGAAGAUGGGCUCGCGUCUGAUUAGCUAGAUGGUGGGGUAAGAGCCUACCAUGGCAACGAUCAGUAGCUGGUCUGAGAGGAUGAGCAGCCACACUGGGACUGAGACACGGCCCAGACUCCUACGGGAGGCAGCAGUGGGGAAUUUUCCGCAAUGGGCGAAAGCCUGACGGAGCAAUACCGCGUGAGGGAGGAAGGUCCUUGGAUUGUAAACCUCUUUAUCAGGGAAGAAGUUCUGACGGUACCUGAUGAAUAAGCAUCGGCUAACUCCGUGCCAGCAGCCGCGGUAAUACGGAGGAUGCAAGCGUUAUCCGGAAUUAUUGGGCGUAAAGCGUCCGUAGGUGGUUAUGCAAGUCUGCCGUUAAAGAAUGGAGCUUAACUCCAUAGGAGCGGUGGAACUGCAAGACUAGAGUACAGUAGGGGUAGCAGGAAUUCCCAGUGUAGCGGUGAAAUGGGUAGAUAUUGGGAAGAACAUCGGUGGCGAAAGCGUGCUACUGGGCUGAAACUGACACUGAGGGACGAAAGCUAGGGUAGCGAAAGGGAUUAGAUACCCCCGGUAGUCAC